GCAGGGCUGAGUGCAGAGCCCGGGACUUACGCUGGGUGGGCCGUGCGCAGGAUAGAAUGCUGCCUCCAGAACCGCAGGGGCGCAUUGGCUCAAUGCUUUCCACACCCGCGCUCUGUCUGGGAAGUCAGCCUGCCUGAUUCCUGCAUCCGCAGUACCCGGAGCCCGGCGGACGCAUUCAUCCAACCGGCUUCAGCAGGCUCUAAAGGAUGCCAAAUAAUGACAGAUGCCAUAGUUCUGAACAAACGCUUGGACAGGAAUGCAGAGGGCAAUACUGCCAUGAAGAGCCACCAAGAGUCUUGUCGGGGUCCGGGGGUUGCCUCUGAGGUUUUGGGG